GACGAACGCUGGCGGCGCGCUUAACACAUGCAAGUCGAACGGAAAGGCCUGCUUUCCCUUGUGGAUUGCGGGUACUCGAGUGGCGAACGGGUGAGUAACACGUGAGUGAUCUGCCCCCAACUUGGGUAUAAGCCUGGGAAACUGGGUCUAAUUCCCGAUAGGACCGCAGGGUGGUGCCUGUGGUGGAAAACGAUUUUCUAGUGGUUGGGGAUGAGAUCGCGGCCUAUCAGCUUGUUGGUGGGGGAAUGGCCUACCAAGGCGGCGACGGGUAGCCGGCCUGGGAGGUAGGACGGCCCCAUUGGGACUGAGCUACGCCCCAGACGCGUACGGGAGGCAGCAGUGGGGAGUAGUGGACGAUGGGCGGAAGCCUGAUGCAGCGACGCCGCGUGGGGGAUGACGGCCUUCGGGUUGUAAACUCCUUUCGACCGCGAGGAAGCCACCUGGUUGGAAGGGUGGUGACGGUAGUGGUAGAAGAAGCACCGGCUAACUACGUG
rnacentral:rRNA from 1 species